rnacentral:rRNA from 1 species
CACGUAGUUAGCCGGGGCUUCUUAGUCAGGUACCGUCAUUUCUUUCUUCCCUGCUGAUAGAGCUUUACAUACCGAAAUACUUCUUCACUCACGCGGCGUCGCUGGAUCAGGGUUCCCCCCAUUGUCCAAUAUUCCCCACUGCUGCCUCCCGUAGGAGUUUGGGCCGUGUCUCAGUCCCAAUGUGGCCGUCCACCCUCUCAGGCCGGCUACUGAUCGUCGCCUUGGUGGGCCGUUACCCCGCCAACCAGCUAAUCAGACGCGGGUCCAUCUUACACCACCGGAGUUUUCAAGAAAGUGGCAUGCGCCUCUUCCUGUUAUGCGGUAUUAGCACCUGUUUCCAGGUGUUAUCCCCCUGUGUAAGGCAGGUUACCCACGCGUUACUCACCCGUCCGCCACUAAACUGCCAACAUUUCCACCCUUAGCAAGCUAAUUGCUUCAAAAAUGACAGUUCCGUUCGACUUGCAUGUGUUAAGCACGCCGCCAGCGUUCAUCCUGAGCCAGGAUCAAACUCU